GAUGAACGCUAGCGGCAGGCUUAAUACAUGCAAGUUGAGGGGCAGCAUGAUAUACGCAAGUAUAUUGAUGGCGACCGGCGGACGGGUGAGUAAAAGGUAGGAGACCUACCUCAUACAGGGGGAUAGCAUAGAGAAAUCUGUGGUAAUACCCCAUGAGGUUAUAUGAAUAGAGGCAUAUAAUCAAAGUAUACGAGAGUAUGCGGUAUGAGAUGGGCCUACUGACCAUUAGCUAGUUGGUGAGGUAAGGGCUCACCAAGGCGAAGAUGGUUAGGGGUUUUGAGAGAGAGAUCCCCCACAUUGGAACUGAGAUACGGUCCAGACUCCUACGGGAGGCAGCAGUAGGGAAUAUUGGGCAAUGGGCGAAAGCCUGACCCAGCCAUGCCGCGUGAAGGAAGACGGCCUUAUGGGUUGUAAACUUCUUUACUAUACGAAUAGAGGUUAGUACGAGUUACUAAUAGGAAGGUAGUAUAGCAAAAAGCAACCGGCUAACUCCGUGCC
rnacentral:rRNA from 1 species